UUCAUAAACUGUAUUUUGGUCAGAUAACUGAUAAUUAGUAAAUAGAAAAUGAAUUGUAGCAUAAAAUUAUUAGAAAAAAAUUGGAAAUUAUAACUUAACACUUAAGGAGUACAAGUUGCAUCCAGCCCCGCUUAAUAAAAAAGCACACCAUGCGGCUCAUAUGACUAGCACUGUGCGGAAAGAGAGAAGCAGUGUGCCCAUCAUUUCCAACACCUAGCAAUACAAAGUCAAUGACUUGGUCCGGAAUUAAAUAGUUGAUACUUUCUUCGUACAACUGAUCCCCUUUGCUUGCG